rnacentral:lncRNA from 1 species
GCCAGAAGUCACCGGCUGCUGGUGGGGGUCAUGGAGUCCUGUCUGGAGCCUUUGGGGAACCAGGCCACACAUCCAUGAGGGUGUUCGUCAGCUUCCUGUUACUGUAACAAUUACCCG